AAGACCUUGCACUUUUGGAGCGGCCGAUGUCUGAUUAGCUUGUUGGUAAGGUAAAAGCUUACCAAGGCUUCGAUCAGUAGCUGGUCUGAGAGGACGGCCAGCCACACUGGGACUGAGACACGGCCCAGACUCCUACGGGAGGCAGCAGUGGGGAAUUUUGGACAAUGGGGGCAACCCUGAUCCAGCCAUGCCGCGUGAGUGAAGAAGGCCUUCGGGUUGUAAAGCUCUUUCAGCCGGAACGAAACGGUUACGGUUAAUACCCGUGAUUACUGACGGUACCGGAAGAAGAAGCACCGGCUAACUACGUGCCAGCAGCCGCGGUAAUACGUAGGGUGCGAGCGUUAAUCGGAAUUACUGGGCGUAAAGCGUGCGCAGGUGGUUUUGUAAGACAGAUGUGAAAGCCCCGGGCUCAACCUGGGAACU
rnacentral:rRNA from 1 species